CCUACGGGUGGCAGCAGUGGGGAAUAUUGCACAAUGGGGGAAACCCUGAUGCAGCGACGCCGCGUGAGUGAAGAAGUAUUUCGGUACGUAAAGCUCUAUCAGCAGGGAAGAAAAUGACGGUACCUGACUAAGAAGCCCCGGCUAACUACGUGCCAGCAGCCGCGGUAAUACGUAGGGGGCAAGCGUUAUCCGGAUUUACUGGGUGUAAAGGGAGCGUAGACGGCAGCGCAAGUCUGGAGUGAAAUCCCAUGGCUUAACCAUGGAACUGCUUUGGAAACUGUGCAGCUAGAGUGCAGGAGAGGUAAGCGGAAGUCCUAGUGUAGCGGUGAAAUGCGUAGAUAUGUGGAAGAACACCGAUGGCGAAGGCAGCCUCCUGGGACAUAACUGACGCUCAGGCACGAAAGCGUGGGGAGCAAACAGGAUUAGAUACCCGUGUAGUC
rnacentral:rRNA from 1 species